AUUACAGUCAGGAAGAUUCCAUGUGUUGAUACAACAGAGUGACUGACCCUAGUUUCUUUUUCUGUUUUCAAGUUGCUGAUGCCAGAACCAAGGGGUUGGCAUUCCCAUGAUGUGAUCUGAAGUUGGAAUGAAGGUGCCAGAACUCAACUCUCUCACAUGGAAGCAGAGGCAAUGAAAACAUCAAUUGAAAGACAUCAUCACUGAAGACAGUGGUAGCCCUGAAAGUACAAUGGAAUGGAACUAAACCGUGGUUAUGGGCAGAAAAGUGAGUACAUAAAAACA
rnacentral:lncRNA from 1 species